UACGUAGGGAGCAAGCGUUAUCCGGAUUUACUGGGUGUAAAGGGCGAGUAGGCGGGAAUGCAAGUCAGAUGUGAAAGCCCGGGGCUUAACCCCGGAACUGCAUUUGAAACUGUAUUUCUUGAGUGAUGGAGAGGCAGGCGGAAUUCCUAGUGUAGCGGUGAAAUGCGUAGAUAUUAGGAGGAACACCAGUGGCGAAGGCGGCCUGCUGGACAUUAACUGACGCUGAGGAGCGAAAGCGUGGGGAGCAAACAGG
rnacentral:rRNA from 1 species